CACUCCUGGCAAUGGGCAAAGAGACACUUUGUUGGUGGUGGUCUUUUAUCAGUCAGGGGCAGAGCAGAUGGCAGUCCUUUGUGAAUCCUAGCCUGAUGCUUUGCUUGGUGGCCAAAGUUGUUUUAUGCUUAGGAUACAUAA